CCGCAGAGAGUCAGGGCACCCGUUUAACGUCCCAUCCGAAAGAUAGCACCCUACACAGGGCACUGGCCUGGGGCUUUGGGAUAUUAGACCAGAGGAAAGUGCCUCCUAUAGGCUCUCCAACACCACUUCCAGAAGCAUCUGGUCUCCCAUCCAGGGACUGACCAGGACCAACCCUGCUUAGCUUCAGAAGCAAGCCAGCAGUGGGAUGCAGGGUGGUAUGUUGCUGGCUAAUUUUGCAUCAAAACAAUUUUGGCCAAUAGCUAUUUAGCAACUGAGCCCAUUUAACAGCUAAUUGAGGGUCACCUCUCCCUUGAACAAAUUCCUUAUAACUAAUCUAAAGACUGCUGACCAAUGGAAGCCUUCUUAAGAAUUGACUUCCAUUUCUUUGGACACUCUAGCCCAGUCCAAAAACUAUUAGCCUAGCCCGUGCCCCUGUAGAUCUCUAUUUUCGUGUCAAUGCACAUUCGUUGGGAAUUUUAACCUGUUAAAGGGGAAUGGACACACUUUAGGAAGUAAAUCUAAGCAAAGAGAUGUAUUUUAUCCACUUAUACUAAAAACAUGUGCAUUUAACAUAAAAACAUAUCUAUAUUUAGUAUUUUGAUCGCCGACGAGGUUUAUUUGAGCUACGGUCAGCGCCAUUUUAAAUUGCCAUAGUAACGACUGAUGCCAGUGCUCACUGGCAGGCAUCAGCAAAUUGUCUGUGGUAUUGAGUUUUUGUGCUGAGAGUGAAUGAAGAGAGUGAGGUUAGGGGCGGACAACGAAGAUGGCAACAGCAAGUUGUAAUUCAAAUAUGAACUGUAUAGCGCCAGGCUGUAUGAAUUGGCCCCCAAAAAUCCCUCUGUAAACUACCAUCGGCUUCCCAUGGACCUACAACUUUAGAAGAAGUGGCUCCAUGGCCUGAAAAGGAAGGACAUGCCAGCUUGACCUAGCAGGAUCUGCAGACAGCACUUUGCGGAGGCAGACUUCGCAAUGAAGGGCACUUUCGAUGAGGAAACUGGGAGUUUCCGAAUGGAAAGGAGUCAUAGGCCUACGUUGAAGCCCUCUGCUUGCGCCUCCAUUUGAAAUUGAGGGUUAUGGUGUAGGGGUUACCAACCGACCAUCAUGAACAUCACUGAUUUUUGGAGUCAAGCAAAAGCAACUGAAUGGAGGAGGCGACGAUGACAUCUUCAUCCCUGAAAAUGUUUUCAUCCUGGAGGAGACUGUGCAGAAGGCAGAGG